rnacentral:rRNA from 1 species
UUAAUUUGAGAGUUUGAUCCUGGCUCAGGACGAACGCUGGCGGCGUGCCUAAUACAUGCAAGUCGAACGAACUCUGGUAUUGAUUGGUGCUUGCAUCAUGAUUUAUAUUUGAGUGAGUGGCGAACUGGUGAGUAACACGUGGGAAACCUGCCCAGAAGCGGGGGAUAACACCUGGAAACAGAUGCUAAUACCGCAUAACAACUUGGACCGCAUGGUCCGAGCUUGAAAGAUGGCUUCGGCUAUCACUUUUGGAUGGUCCCGCGGCGUAUUAGCUAGAUGGUGGGGUAACGGCUCACCAUGGCAAUGAUACGUAGCCGACCUGAGAGGGUAAUCGGCCACAUUGGGACUGAGACACGGCCCAAACUCCUACGGGAGGCAGCAGUAGGGAAUCUUCCACAAUGGACGAAAGUCUGAUGGAGCAACGCCGCGUGAGUGAAGAAGGGUUUCGGCUCGUAAAACUCUGUUGUUAAAGAAGAACAUAUCUGAGAGUAACUGUUCAGGUAUUGACGGUAUUUAACCAGAAAGCCACGGCUAACUACGUGCCAGCAGCCGCGGUAAUACGUAGGUGGCAAGCGUUGUCCGGAUUUAUUGGGCGUAAAGCGAGCGCAGGCGGUUUUUUAAGUCUGAUGUGAAAGCCUUCGGCUCAACCGAAGAAGUGCAUCGGAAACUGGGAAACUUGAGUGCAGAAGAGGACAGUGGAACUCCAUGUGUAGCGGUGAAAUGCGUAGAUAUAUGGAAGAACACCAGUGGCGAAGGCGGCUGUCUGGUCUGUAACUGACGCUGAGGCUCGAAAGUAUGGGUAGCAAACAGGAUUAGAUACCCUGGUAGUCCAUACCGUAAACGAUGAAUGCUAAGUGUUGGAGGGUUUCCGCCCUUCAGUGCUGCAGCUAACGCAUUAAGCAUUCCGCCUGGGGAGUACGGCCGCAAGGCUGAAACUCAAAGGAAUUGACGGGGGCCCGCACAAGCGGUGGAGCAUGUGGUUUAAUUCGAAGCUACGCGAAGAACCUUACCAGGUCUUGACAUACUAUGCAAAUCUAAGAGAUUAGACGUUCCCUUCGGGGACAUGGAUACAGGUGGUGCAUGGUUGUCGUCAGCUCGUGUCGUGAGAUGUUGGGUUAAGUCCCGCAACGAGCGCAACCCUUAUUAUCAGUUGCCAGCAUUAAGUUGGGCACUCUGGUGAGACUGCCGGUGACAAACCGGAGGAAGGUGGGGAUGACGUCAAAUCAUCAUGCCCCUUAUGACCUGGGCUACACACGUGCUACAAUGGAUGGUACAACGAGUUGCGAACUCGCGAGAGUAAGCUAAUCUCUUAAAGCCAUUCUCAGUUCGGAUUGUAGGCUGCAACUCGCCUACAUGAAGUCGGAAUCGCUAGUAAUCGCGGAUCAGCAUGCCGCGGUGAAUACGUUCCCGGGCCUUGUACACACCGCCCGUCACACCAUGAGAGUUUGUAACACCCAAAGUCGGUGGGGUAACCUUUUAGGAACCAGCCGCCUAAGGUGGGACAGAUGAUUAGGGUGAAGUCGUAACAAGGUAGCCGUAGGAGAACCUGCGGCUGGAUCACCUCCUUUCUAAGGAA